rnacentral:tRNA from 1 species
GCAGUGGUGGCUCAGGGGUAGAGUUCUCGCUUUCCACACAGAAGGCCCAAGUUCAAUUCCUGGCCAAUGCG